GCGUUUUCCUAGAUCAGAUACAAGAUAAUCUACAUUGAAUUGAGCCCGAGACUUCUUUGUGCUGUUUAACAACUCGAGUGCUCGAUAGAAGCAGUGGCAGGACUAGAAGCACAACUAGAACUAGGAGAACUAGGUAUAGACUUUCAUUUCGGUUAAAAAAAUUGUUCCAUAAUCUACAAAAUUCCCUAAUUUAAUUUUCAAUUACAAUUGAUUAAAAAAUCAAUAAUUCAACAAAAAAAUCCCCAAGAGUUAGACUGCAAUGUAUUAGAAAAAUCAAACACUAAAAAAUUAGUCAAAGCAGCAAAGUUGCCUAAACAAAAAUCCCCAAGAGUUAGAUAGCAGCAGUGGCGAAUCCAAUAACAUUCUACGCUAAAUGCCUAAAUCAAUUUACCAUUCUUGUCCAUGUGCAUGUCAUUUCCAUCUAUGUACUGCUCCAGUACUUAGUUCUCACAAUCAUCUAGGUAGAUUACCAAUUUCAUUAGAUCUUCAGAAGCUUACAAUAUUUUUCAUCUAGCAAAUCAGAAAAUGAAACAAGUACUAUGCGUGAAUAUCUGAUAAAAUAAGGUUAAUGAAGUCUCUGUUGUCUAUACUAUACGUUGAAUUGCUGGGGAAAAAAAUACCUAAGGCACUUGGAGGGAAGUUUUAUUAGAAGAAAAUAACAAAAUCAAAACAAAGGAGAAAUGUUAUCCUCCAGCUACUUGCUACCAUAACUUAUUUUUCUGAACCCAGUAGCUAUAGCCUAUAAGCACAAAAAAGUUAAAGAGCCCAACGUUACACUUACACAUAAACAAAUGUAGAAUACACUUUCCACGACAUAAUUCAUAUCAGUUAUGAGAUAAAUUUUGAAAAUACAAAAAAGUGUAAACCUUCAAUAGUCAUUCAAAAUGCAAGCGGCCAUCAAGAAAACAAACAAUAAAGUAUUAAAGUUUAACACUAAAAUCUCAGAGGACAAACGAAAAGGGGUGGAAAAUUGCAGAUAGCACAAUUUAUUUAUUUAGAAACGAUAAUAAAAAUGAUAAAUAAGUCAAAUAACUAAAAGAAUCUUGCAUUUUUUGCUGUGGAGUGUGGGCUGCCUGCUGGACUGGAGUGCUGCUCGCGGCUCGCCUGCUUCUCUCGACUAUGAUUGGUGGGCGGUGGCGGUGGCGGUGCCGUCUGCAGUGUCUGCUGGCUGUUGCAGCCUGCGGUAGUGGUGGUAGACGGGGAGAGCCGUAGAGGUAGAUUAGUGGGUGGUGGCAAUUUGGGGAAAAAUC
rnacentral:lncRNA from 1 species